rnacentral:misc_RNA from 1 species
UCUCCGUAGGUGAACCUGCGGAGGGAUCAUUACAGAGUUCUCGCCCUCGCGGGUAGAUCUCCCACCCACUGUUAUCGUUACUGUGUUGCUUUGGGGGGCCGCCGGGCCCCGCCAGGCCGCCAGCUCCGGCUGGCGCGCGCCCGCCAGAGGCCCAGCAAACUCUGAAUGUUAGUGUCGUCUGAGUACUAUAUAAUAGUUAAAACUUUCAACAACGGAUCUCUUGGUUCUG